rnacentral:rRNA from 1 species
UGCGUGAUGGAGGGGGAUAACUACUUUAAACGGUAGCUAAUACCGCAUGACCUCCCUAGAGCAAAGUGGGGGACCUUCUGGCCUCUCCCCCUCUGAUGUGCCCCUAUGGGAUUAUCUAUUAUGUGGGGUAAUGGGUCACCUAGGCGACAAUCCCUAUCUGGGCUGAGAGGAUGACCACCCCCACUGGAACUGAGACACGGUCCCCACUCCUACGGGAGGCAGCACUGGGGAAUAUUGCGCAAUGGGCGCAAGCCUGAUGCACCCAUGCCGCGUGUGUGAAAAAAGCCUUAUGGUUGUAAAGCACUUUCACCGAGGAGGAAAGCGGUGCAAUUAAUAGCUGCUGCGAUUGUCGUUACUCCCACAAAAAACACCGGCUAACUCCGUGCCAUCAGCCGCGGUAAUACGGAGGGUGCAAGCGUUAAUCGGAAUUACUGUGCGUAAAGCGCACGCCCGCGGGUUGU